AGCUUAACUGAAUCAAGAACACCACGUAUGGGUCUCGUCAAUUGUGUUUAACAAGCCUUUCAGGUGAACUGGUUUCACACUGAAGUUUAAGAACAAUUGUUUUAACACUGGCAAACACCAAUUAAGAGUACAAGUGGAGGACUCUAGUGGGAAGAGUUAAGAAGUGACAGCGUGCAAGAUUACUAUUUCUACUGUUUCUUUUUAUAGGGCAGAUGGAAGACCAGAAUGAGUACUCUCUUGGGGAAGCAGAUCUGAGAAGGAGCUGAUCAAGGCAUGUCAUUUUCUUCUCUGAAAUUCAUCAAACAACAAAAUACAUCACUUCAUGACCAUGGCAAGGAAUUAGUGAAGGUCUUCUCGUCGCCUCUGGCUUUCAGGUUCCCCUAGAGCGGUCAUCAGGUCUGUGAGGUCUGGUUAUUGGUGUGGAGGCUCCUAAAGUCCACAGUCCCACAGUGGCAGAUGGUAAAGCAUCCCCCCUGGUGUGGCUCUACUGUUGUAGGAACAGAUAAGCCUUCAUGGCCCUGCUGAGGGAUCUUGGGUCGUUCUCCAAGCUCCCCAGUUUUCUAUGGGCAGAACAGACAAUGAAGCUUGGAAACUGGCAAGAGGAUGUUGAUGAAUUGAACACAUUCACAUAACUUCAAGAAAAACAGGGGGAACGAAAAUGCAGCAGAGUUGUGAAGUAAGGACCAAAGCAUAGAGAUUGACACCCCUGCACGGAAAAACUGAAGGCUGGAGAUUAAUUCUGCCCCUCAAAAUUUCCAAGGCCAUUUCUACUUAAGAGAUUUGGUACUUUGCUCAGUCUUCUCUGAAAUGCUCAUCCACCGGUGUGUCUUCACAUGGCUGGCUCUUUCUAAACAGUCAGUUCUUUGUUCAAUAUCAGCUCUUCAGAGAAACCUUCCUCAACCACCCAAUCACCACACUCUACUCAAUCUUUAUCACAGCAUUCUGCUUUGUUUCCUUAAUAUAAUUUCCUUAAUAAAUAUAUAUAUAAUUUCCAUGGUUGCUCACUAUCUGUUUUCUCUUACUAGAAUAGAUGCUUCACAAGAAGAGAUCUUACCUGUUUUGUAAAUGUUUUUAACCCCAUUGCCUAGAACAGCACCUGACAUUUGUGGGUGCACGAUAAAUCCCUUCCCAUGAAAGAAUGUAUUCAGGAACGUAUGCAUGCAUGAAUGGAAAAUAUUUUGCAGUGUUGAAUAGAAGGAGUGACACAAAAUACUGUGAAAUUGGAGCCUGAUCAGCUUCAUCUUGAUCCUGGCUCAAGUUCUAGAAUGAAAAGAUAAUUGGAUGAUUUAUGAACGAAAGAAAAAAUACUGAUUCUUAGGACUUAUAGAUUCAUAAAGAAAGCAUGUCAUGUUAUGACACGCUUAUGAAAAAAUAUAGGGCAAACAAUUAAGGGAAAACAUUUAAAGUAAAUUCAUAGAUAAGCCCACCCUUCAGUGAUAACCUGAGUGUUUUAGUCUCCACCAGAGGCUGAGUAUGUGCCUUAUAAUCUGAUUGCCUCUGUAUGUCCUGGUUCUACCACCUAACAGUCUGGUGUCCUUAUGCGUAUUAUUUAGCUUUUCUGAUUAAACACUGGGAUUUAGUUUCCCUGCAUGUAACUUUAUAAGGUUAGAGUCAAGAUCGACUAAGAUAGACAAUGCAAAACGCUUCAUGCAGUGCCUGGCAUAUA
ensembl:lncRNA